CCCUCACGCAUCUCUUCUUUUGGCCAAACACCUUCAGCAGUUUCUUUUCUCUAAUUCUCCUUUCUCGCUACGCUACCUUCACACCAUCUCUCUCCAAUCAAUUCAGUCUUGCCAAACUUAUGAAUCCGUUUCUAUUUCAAAUCAAAAAACCCUAAAUGUCAAGAAUCAUCUACAUUCGUGAAAGUAACUCACCGGAUUUCUGUCUGCCGAUCUAGGGUUUAACAGUGAUUCCAGGUGGAAUGUUUCAGAUCUGUGUUGAUCGAUGACUCUCAGGCCACCCUCGAUAGGUGAAGAUGUUGAAACCUUUCACGACGGAGGCUCUUCUCCUUCGGCUGGAGCCAACGACGACGGCGGCGGCGGCACCGAAGGGUUUAGCGAUUCUAAGUCACAGGGUUCUUACCACAAGAUCUGAAUCAGUUUCAGUUCAGGAUUGGUGAUGUUUGUGUUCGGUCUUGGUAGAACAAACGAGUUUUCCGAUGGCAUAGGUAUUUUCCGGCGACUUCUAAGUCUUGACCCGUCUUUCAGUUUCUUUUCUUAUAAAGUCUUUCAAUCAUUUACCGGAUCGGUCUUUAAAUCGGCUUCAAACAAGUGUUGGGGCCUACUCAAACUGCUAUAACGAUGCAUCUCGAUCAACGAGGUACGCAAGGCAAUUGAGAAGCACGCAUCGAUUGACAAGAUCAAACAGAAGCUUGGAGAUGAGUAUUCGCAGUAUUUAUCUGAUUGGAUCAAAGUUCCUAAUAUUACCGAGUUCCACUUUCUAGUUGCAUCGUAGAAAUUAUGGCUGAAGGGAAGAGUGAGAUGGAUAAGGAUGUUACGGAGAUCAAAAAGUGGAUUGUAUGAUAUAUAUGUCGAGAUUAUUAAGUUUGAAGUGCGGGUUGUUUAGCGGAGAUCAUUCCGAGUCAACAUCCACUCAGUGUACUAUCGAUCUUAUAUGCUAAGGUUGUCGGCCGAACCUACACUGUUAUCGGUACACUGGAUCCCCGCUGUAACGCACGAGUUAGAGACCAACUAACUUAUAUUAAACAACAAGAUGAAAGCACCGGUUGAGUUUUAACAUCAUCUAAUGUGGAGAUUGGAGAAAGUGCUAAGUAUGUGGUGAUUGAUUACCUGUUGUAUGUUUUUGUGAUUCUGACAAUUUGGAUAAGAUGUGGACUGCAAAAAAAGUGAAUAUAACUUAGUUUCUUCUUUUAUUAGAUCGGGAAGUGAUGAUUCUUAUUCAUGACAUUAUCAUCAUUAUGCAUGACAACUCAAGUUGUAAUUAUGAAUGAAAUAUAACAUAGGUUUUACUAUUAUCUAUAGUACCAACUUUAGUGCCAUCGUUGCUUAUAAAAGGCAUCUCAACCGUUUGUUUAAUUUGUGUAGAUAAAUCCAAGGCUUAAAUGAGGUACGAGAAUAUGUAUUUGGUAUAAAUUGCAUGCGUGACGAUACCAAAACUGCAAGCUCCGAUAUGUGUAUGGGAGCAAAGAACUCCACCACUCAAUCUUACCAGUGAUUACUUUGUAGCAAAGAGUAUUUGUCA
rnacentral:lncRNA from 1 species